rnacentral:rRNA from 1 species
GACGAACGUUGGCGGCGUGCUUAAUACAUGCAAGUCAACUGAAGCAGUGGUAGCAAUAUCGCUGUGGAGGUGGCGCACGGGUGAGUAACACGUAGGUAAUCUGCCUUCAGGUCUGGCAUAACUCCGGGAAACCGGGGCUAAUAGCAGAUGAUGCAGCGGCUCGACAUCGAGACAGUUGUUAAGGCUAUGGCGCCUGAAGAUGAGCCUGCGUCUGAUUAGCUAGUUGGCGGGGUAACGGCCCACCAAGGCAACGAUCAGUAGCUGGUCUGAGAGGAUGAUCAGCCACACUGGAACUGAGACACGGUCCAGACUCCUACGGGAGGCAGCAGUAAGGAAUAUUGCUCAAUGGGAGAAAUCCUGAAGCAGCAACGCCGCGUGAGGGACGAAGGGCUUUUGCUUGUAAACCUCUGUAGUGAGAGAAAAAAAUCCCAAUCUUUGGGACAUGAUGGUAUCUCAAAAGUAAGCCCCGGCUAACUACGUG